rnacentral:lncRNA from 1 species
GGCUGUGGGUAUUUUAUACCCAACACCAGUCCCCCUACUUCCGAGUUUGAAUUUCAAACGAAGGAAGUACAGAGAGAGAGAUGGGCACAGCCGAAGCCGUCCCUUCGAAUCCUGCGCGCUGCCGCCCCCAGAUAUUUUGGCAUUAAAUGUGCGCGUGCCGGAGUCUUUUCGAAUUGGAGCGGUACGAGGGGACGCUUCGAAAUUCCCACAGGU